UACGAAGGGGGCUAGCGUUGCUCGGAAUCACUGGGCGUAAAGCGCACGUAGGCGGCUUGUUAAGUCAGGGGUGAAAUCCUGGAGCUCAACUCCAGAACUGCCUUUGAUACUGGCGAGCUUGAGUCCGGGAGAGGUGAGUGGAACUGCGAGUGUAGAGGUGAAAUUCGUAGAUAUUCGCAAGAACACCAGUGGCGAAGGCGGCUCACUGGCCCGAUACUGACGCUGAGGCACGAAAGCGUGGGGAGCAAACAGGG
rnacentral:rRNA from 1 species